rnacentral:rRNA from 1 species
GACCUGACUGCUAUCAGAUUGAUACUAAGCCAUGCGAGUCUUUGUAGUAAUACAAGGCAGACGGCUCAGUAACACGUAGUCAACCUACCCUAUGGACAAGAAUAAUCUCGGGAAACUGGGCAUAAUUCUUGAUAGAUCAUAAUGCCUGGAAUGGUUUAUGGUUAAAAUGAUUCGUCGCCAUAGGAUGGGACUGCGGCCUAUCAGCUUGUUGGUGAGGUAAUGGCCCACCAAGGCGAUUACAGGUACGGGCUCUGAGAGGAGAAGCCCGGAGAUGGGUACUGAGACACGGACCCAGGCCCUAUGGGGCGCAGCAGGCGAGAAAACUUUGCAAUGUGCGAAAGCACGACAAGGUUAAUCCGAGUGAUUUCUGCUAAAGAAAUCUUUUGCCAGUCAUAAAACCACUGGUGAAUAAGGGGUGGGCAAGUUCUGAUGUCAGCCGCCGCGGUAAAACCAGCACCUCAAGUGGUCAGGAUGAUUAUUGGGCCUAAAGCAUCCGUAGCCGGCUUUGUUAGUUUUCGGUUAAAUCCAUGUGCUCAACGCAUGGGCUGCCGAAAAUACUGCAUAGCUAGGGAGUGGGAGAGGUAGACGGUACUCAGUAGGAAGGGGUAAAAUCCUUUGAUCUAUUGAUGACCACCUGUGGCGAAGGCGGUCUACCAGAACACGUUCGACGGUGAGGGAUGAAAGCUGGGGGAGCAAACCGGAUUAGAUACCCGGGUAGUCCUAGCUGUAAACGAUGCAGACUCGAUGAUGCAUUGGCAUAUAGCCAGUGCAGUGUCGCAGGGAAGCCGUUAAGUCUGCCGCCUGGGAAGUACGUACGCAAGUAUGAAACUUAAAGGAAUUGGCGGGGGAGCAC